rnacentral:rRNA from 1 species
UACGAAGGGGGCUAGCGUUGCUCGGAAUUACUGGGCGUAAAGCGCACGUAGGCGGUCUUUUAAGUCGGGGGUGAAAUCCUGGAGCUCAACUCCAGAACUGCCUUCGAUACUGGAAGACUUGAGUCCGGGAGAGGUGAGUGGAACUGCGAGUGUAGAGGUGAAAUUCGUAGAUAUUCGCAAGAACACCAGUGGCGAAGGCGGCUUGCCAGAAUGCGCUCGACGGUGAGGGAUGAAAGCUGGGGGAGCAAACCGG